rnacentral:snRNA from 1 species
ACAUUGAACUGUCUGUCUGUCAU